GGGGAGAGCCAUACCUCGCCAGCAAUGGCACGGGAAGAUCACUUGGCCAAAGCUGCUCAUAGAAAGGUGUUCUACCAAAAAGAACCCUGAUUUAGCUGGCUCCUACACCAUCUUGUCCCUGCCAUGGUGAGGACGGAAAUUUGGAUUUAGGGGUUAAAGCAGGAUUAUCAGGUCUCGGAUUUCAUCAUUGGAUACCAUUCUAAACCUCGGAUCAAACAACAUGGACAACCUUGGUCAGCUGCCACUGAGAAGAUGAUAGAAAGCUUGAAGCAAAGUAAAUACGUUUAGUAAGAAUAUAAUGGUUUCUCUCAGCCUCCAGAUUCAAUUCAUCUUAGAACAGUAGAAACUAUAAUAUUCAUCUUGAAAAGUUUAGGCAGUAUGCUAUGAUACAACUUGUAUCCAUUCAAAGCACAAAAGAACUCAUCAAAAGACAACAUACCUGAUGGUCUCUGUGAAAUGAUGGAAUAUCAUAUACAAAGGUGAAAGAAUUUCUUUUGCAAUGAGCUCCAACUGCUGAGGCAUGACUCCCUUUUAAGAUGUGGGUUCAUGAAGUACUGCAAUCAUCCAUAAUCCAUUAGCUAUGGUCCCUUACCUUUCAUAGCAAUUUGUUGAAAGGCUUCACCAUCAAGUUAGUUUUCAUACUAUAACCAGGUCAGUAAUGGCAGAAUGCUUUUUCCAUGGGUCGCAUUGGUCCACCCUCAAAUUGCUCUUGCAUGUUGAAAGUUCAUUAAACAAUUGUGUUGUAAUAGUGCUAGAGCGACCAGUGCUCAAGGGACCUUGCAGGGGCCUUGAGUUCCAUACAUAAUCACUAUUAAACUAAUGAAGGCUAUUUUCAAUGGGAGCUCAUUUGGUUUUCUAACACAUUUAACAUGAUAAGCAGACAAUAUUUAGCAUUACAGGUAUAGAUGUAUUUAUUGAAUACUUUCAGUUUACAUACCCCUUGCGCAUCUAAUGUCUAACUUAACUAUUCCAGUUGAUGAUUUGGACUUGAGUAAUGUGUAGACUUUUAGGGGGUGUUUCUUACCUGGCAAUUGGGAAACAUUUAUGUGGGCAAAUUCAGUUUGUCACCCAAUAAUUAACUAGGGAAUGUAUGUGAAGAUAACUUUGUCAGCAUUACUGGCUUCGGUAAUUCACUGCAUUCUUACUUAAAUUGUGCUUGCAGACUUUACCUUAAGGUGCUGCCUCACUCAGCAACAUAAUGGAGCAGGAGACAAUUACAGCCUGAGAGGUGUUGCCUUUGCAACAUGCUGUCAUCAUCUUUGCCAAUGGAAAUCUUACAUGAGUAAUGCCCUAUUCUUUAGUAUACAAAUACCUUUGAUCCUUUACAAUCUGGUUCUUGUAUCUGUUGUAUAUAUCAUGUGAAAGAUACACACAUAGAGAAUUAGCAUUCUAUGAAUCAUAGGAUCAUUGCUCACACAAGCACAUGCAUGGACAUGUAAUAUGGAAAUAUCUGAAUGUUCAUUUAGAGCACUAUUAAAUUAUACAUAAUUGAUUGUGCACAGUUCACAGUUAAUGUGAAAUAUGCAUAGUUCAUAGUUCAUGUGAAUCGAUCCAGAAUUUUAAGUUCCCUGUAGGAAUGAAUUGCUUCAUUUCAUGGCUGGUUUUUCCUUCUUUUUUUUUUAUAUUUUUUUUUAUAGAUUCAUUUAUUUCUUGCAUUAUUUUGUGAAGAUAGUUCAUUUAGGAACCCUGUUCUUUUGGGCAAUUGGCUGGAAUAUAUAACAAAAAGGAUAUGUGUUUAGGAUAUGUGUUUUGGGAGUCAAUCUUCGUCCAGCUGCUAGCUGUACCCAUUUGCUUUCAGAGAAAAUUAGUGACCAUCAAAUAAGAAUCAUGACCAGUUUUUGGAAGAAGCUUCUUCAAAGUGUUACUUUCUUCAUUGUUCUGAUAUAGAUGUAGGAUUUCUAUACAAUAUGGGGAUAUUCAAAGAAGGUUUCCAUGCAAUUACAUGGUUCACCAGCUGGGCAGUAGAUGCAGACCGCCAAUUUGAUUUCUCAGAAGCAAUUGAUCAGAGCUUACUUGUAAAAGCAUGGUAAUUUAUUACUCUUUCUUCGUGAAAAUGAGUUUAAAUUUCCAAUUUGCUGCUUUAUAUUAUCGAAAAACUCUUGGUUGCCCCUUGUACUUUUAGAAAAUGACUAGGUGCCCUGCUUUCUUUCGAUGGGUUUGAAACAGCUAAAUAUCCUGUGAGAGCAUAGUUCCUAAUUUGAAAACUAGUUGUUGCAUGGUUUUUGAAAUACAACAGUCACAAUUUCCUGUUAGAAUAGGAUACCUAAUACUAGCACUGCUACACUCCUAGAUUUUCUAUCUUGUUUUGCAUAAUCAAAUAAUGGCACUUGGCUAACAUGUUAAUUGCGGAUUCUGAAGAACAUCAUUGCAAGAGUGUUGCUUCUCUCUGUUUCAUGAAGUGGCUAUAGUUCUUAUUGUAAGCAAUGAGAUCUUCACAAAACCAUUUGUAAGAUGGUCAAUAUAGGUCUAUGCUUUCUUCCAAAUAAAUUAGUUUCCCUCAACAAAUAUUUCUGUUUCUUGAAAAAUAUCAAGGUGCUCUUCCAUUUAUUUUAAGAAAUAAGAAAGUUCCAUCAUCUAUGUUACAAGGAUAUGGGUACGAGUGUCAGUGCCAUACACCAAUAUACAUGUCAGAAACGCAACUUAGCCCCUUCUAGAUACAACACAUUCAUCCAUAUAUUGGAGGGGUCGGGAGGUGGGACUUUAAGUAAUUAAAGUAUCUUAGUUUCUAUAGUGUUAGACAUGUGUGUCACAUUCUUAGUGUCUACAUGAGCCCAAAACCUUGGAUGCUCAUCCAAGUCUUGUAGCCCAUCAUUUAUUUAGAAUGUUGGUGUUUACAUUAUUUUUGAUAAUGAUUUUUAUAUCUUUUCUCCUGUUCUUUUUUUGUUUUGGCAGUAAUGAUGGCGGACAGCAAGGAGUUGAAAGCUUGUGAGAAAUAUGAAACCUGUAGAGAGAGAGCAAAGUUAGGGCUCAUGUGUAAAGAUAUUAUGGAUAUUGGGAGGCUUAAGUGGACUAAAAUAUGCCCCUUAUAACAUAUUGCCUGAGAAUCACUUAGUUGUUGCAAAGCCUACUAAACAGUCUAUACAUUCGGACCUUCCCUAAAUGUUUAUUGAACUUCAGUCGCAUUUAUAGUUAAUUAACAAUUAAAUUUUCAUUUGCAUGAUGAAAGUGCAAAAUAUAUUCACCUUUGUUUAUUCGAAUUAUAUCCACCUUUUACGUUCCCAUGCAAGGGUGUCCUCUCUCUCACACACACACUGAUUUGGCUUAGCAAAGUGGUUAGUUAUUGCUAGGUAGCAAUGCGAUAUCCUAAGUCCUAGUUUCAUUUAUCUUUUAUCUUAUAUCAAAUAUCCCAGGUUUCAAUCUUUUCUUUUCACAUUUUUGCCCCCAUUAUUUCAAAUCCCAUGCUUUCAAAGUAUUGUUUUUAUAUUUAUAUACAUUUGGAAUACUUUAAAAAAAAACAAACAUAGACUGUCCAACAUUUUAGGAACAGAUCUGAAGCGGACACUUGUUACAGUGUGGGUAGCCAUGUUUUUCUUAUUAUUCUAUAUAAUUUGGAAUGGAAGCUGUCAUGGAACUGUUGGAAAUCUACUAAGACCGUACAAAAACAAUUUUAAACACCCCCUCCAAAACCCGAUGUUAAAAAACAAACAUAGACUGUCCAACAUUGGAAUACUUUUUUAAAAAAACAAACGUAGACUGUCCAACAUUUUAGGAACAUAUCUAAAGCGGACACUUGUUACAGUGUGGGUAGCCAUGUUUUCCUUAUUAUUCUUUCAUAUAUAAUUUGGAUAGAAGCUGCCAUGGAACUGUUGGAAUUCUACUAAGAGCCUACAAAAACAAUUUUAAACACCCCCUCCAAAACCCGAUGUUAAAUUACCAAAUCAAUAGAAGGAUUCAAAAACAAAUCUAAAAACCACAUCAAAUUCUGAUAUGAUAAAUCAACAAAACAACCAGAAGUGUUAUACUUUAAAAAAAAAAAAAUUGUAGAGCAAACAAGAUUGUAAACAAUGUCCAAGUCUAGCUCCACUACGGUUAAUUGCUUACACAAAACAAUGGAGCAAACAAGAUUGUAAACAAUGUAUAUUUUCUUAUAAGUCAGUUAUAACACCAUCCUAGAGGCCAAAGAUAAAACUAGAAUCACAAAAGACAAAAAGCAUUAUUGAAAAACAAGCUCAGGUUGGAAAAGAGAACCAAAUAGCCUUAAGUUUUGCCAAAGCUGCCAAAUCUCCAAGUAUACAUUGAUACAUAUUGGUGAAUAUUUGUUACCAACAUAUAUGUUUGUUGACAGCAGCUAGAUAUCAUGAUUGACCAACUCAUUUGGUUCUAUCAAAAUAUGCAUAUGAGGAUUUUGAUAAAUAACAUACAAAUUAAUAAUUGCAUUGGUUUUUGUCAUUCAUUUUUUAUCAAAUGAUUAAUAAGGCCAUUGCAAGCGUUUCAAAAGCUCCCCAACCACAACCUAACCUUUCCUCCCACCCAACCUGCAGCAUUCCCCAACCUUACCAUCCACAACCUAGCCUUUUGGUUCGCUACCCCUGCAGCGUCACUGUCCAUUCCUUCUCCUCCACCAAAAAGAAAAAAGCAUCUCUCUAUUCCCACAGACCGCCCGUCCAUGCAUUUUAGACCUCACCAAAUGAAUGUCAAAUCAUGGUGAUCCAAGCAAGCAAUACCUCGCUCCAUGACUAGGCUUGAAAUUUAUCAAGCAACCAUGCGGUCAACUCCACUAUCACUACCUACCCUCCUCUUUAUUCUUGACCACAGUCCCUUCCUCCUGUUCCCUAAUUCAGAAGACAUUUUGUUCCCCACGUAAGUUAGAGUUCGAGAGAAAAAUAUGAUUAACAUGCUAUAAAACAAUAUAAUUGAAUGUGCAUUACCAGGGUUUAAUUAACUUAAAAUCAAUCUGGUCAAUGUCACAAUCAAUAUUGAAAUUGCCCGUUAGAAAUAUUAAGUCAUAUCACAGAACAGAAAAAGUGACAUAAUUGACUUGGAAUGGUUUGAUAGUAGCUUGAAGAAUAGUGAGGCUGUUUAGGGUCUUCCACUACAUAGAUGCAUCUCUCCUGAAAAGAUUGCUGGUUUGAAUAUCAAACCUCAAUUCAGGUACAAGUUCAAUAAAAUUGAGCUCCAAACAGAAAUGAAUUUCACAAAUAAUGCAAGAAAUAAUGAAAUUUGAACAUAAAGUACAAUCCCUACAAAAGGGCAUCUUAGACAAAAAUGCGACACAAUAUCUUCUCCAGUUCAAUAAGUACCUCUAGAAUGAAAAUUCACGCACUUGUGCAGCUUUUAGAGUCCAGCUAGAUGCCAAUCCCACAAAACGUUUCACCAACUUUGUCAAUGUGAUUGCUACAAUAAAAAGUUCGUAAGUCCUAACAGUUACCCAUAAGUAUCAGGAAAUCAAUCCUUGUGGCUUUCAGUUUAGAAGUCAUAUACAUCACUCUUCAAAAGAGAUGGUAAAAACCAUUGCCCAAUUCAACACCCAAAAUGUCAAGGUUUUAGUUGAAAUAAAGAAAAUAUACGAGAACCUUCACAAUCAAAUAUAUCUAAAGAAUGGGCAUGUGUUUAAACCAAGACAUAAGUACAUUAUUGCCUAAACCAGUUGCUAAACUCGAGGCUCUCAAGGGGUUUACAUUCAUUUCCUUAUAAACCACGGAAAAAAUUAAAGUUCCCAUCAUUUACAAUCCACAUUUUCCUAUCUGAACUGAUACAGUUGCAGCUAACAUUUCCUAUUUUCUCAAAGACUUGGUAGUGGCUUGUUCAUUGCUUUUCAUUGGCUUGCGAGUGCCUCUUUUACAAUUGUUUUCUCACAAGGCAAUACAUCACUUGCUUAAUAAAAGCAUUGAAACCAAUUGUCCAUAAGUAACUACUCUUCUAAUUGGUUUUUCUAGAUCAAAUUUUUUUAAAAAAAUAUAAGUUUUGACCUUUGCGAGUCAAAAGGAUAUAAUGGCCAACAACAUCAACCAACAAUUAAAUCCUUGUAUUGCAGACAAAAUUUAAAUUUUGUUUUUGGUAAUUGAAGUAAAAAACGUUACUUACAAUUUCAACAGAUUUCCAUACAUACUAUACUGAGACCUUUGUUAAGCACUUCUGAAGCACCUUCCUUUAUACAUAUAUACUAGAAUGAAUCAUCCUAUUAGUGAUUUUAGAAAUUACUCCAAAAUUUUUGACAAUAGGUUGCCCUUAUAUUAGUUAAAACUACCUUGAUGUUUCCUUUUUUAUCGAGUGAAGGACUUGAGGGUAAUUAUGAAUGAAUACAAACUCUUAAAUUUCAAAGCUCCCUCAUUGGAUCAUUGGGAUCGUGUGAAUUUUAAUUUAUGUUAUUUUUGUCAUUUGAAAUUUGAGGCAUGUAUCCAUCUAUUUAUCACAGACCCAAAAAAUUGAAAUAAUAAAAAUUAUCAAAAACCAUUUCACCAAAAUCCCCUGAAAUAUUUGUAGGACUAUUUUGGUCAUUUUCACUAUUCGAAUUAUUUUUAUAGUAUUCUUAGGGUGCAUCUUUCUGACAGCACACAUCCUCUAAAUUUCAGGUAAUUUGAUCAGUAAAAAGGAAAUAAAAUGUUUUGAAAUUUGUAACUUUGGAGCAUGCACAAUUAUAUUAAGCACCCUCCAUUUGUUUUAUAGAUAGAAAAGACAUAUGUAUUUUAAUUAAUAUAACGGCAAAAGGUUCUUGAAAAAAUUUAUUAGAGAUUUCUAAAAUCACCAUUCAGAAUUAGGAUGUAUGUGUGCGUGUACAGAUACAUACAAGAAUCUUCAUUGACCAUUUGAGACUAAAGCAAAGCAGUCAAACUCACUAGCCAACUUUAUCUCGGAGCCAAAUGAAAGACCGGGCUGGAACAAAUGAGCAAAAAUAUACACUACUCCUGACUCCAUACACCCACACAGUGAGACCUUCAUCCUCAUCCUUCUCCAAAACCGUUUUUAUAUAACCAGGGCAACAUAUAUAACGAGCUGCAAUAACCAGCAAAAAGGGUUUCCUCAAAGCCACUGGCUUGCUUCGAAUGUCAAGAGAACGUGAAAAUGAAGCUUUACAAAAAACAAUUGCUACUGCCUGCUUAGUACCUUUAGUUUCAAAUGAGAACCUUGGCAAAUGGAGCAAAACAUGUGCACAGAAGCAAGCUCUCCAUGUUACAGCAUGGUAUCCUUCCAUAGCCUCGCUGAUAAAUGCAUCGAUGCCUUCGAUUAUUGAACGCUUAGAAAUAGGACGUGCAAAUGGGGCUGGCAACUCCCUUUACUCCACACCCUCUAUGCAAAUGAACAACUUCUUUUAUGGCAUCAAAGAUGGUCAUGCCCUCCAUGCAUCAUGAUGGGGGUGAAAUACUAAACUGGGCAUGUUCCUGAUGCAUAAAAUUCAAGAUCAGUAAUUUUCCCGAAGAUACAUGAAAAAAGAGAGUCAAAAUUACAUAAUAUAAUCAUAUAAACUGUUCACUCGUUAAACCAUGGGAGUAACAAGUAUUCAAAAUUUGAAAAUUACUAUGCAUAUAUAGGAGAAAAAGCAGAAUGUAUAAUGAAUGAGGUGCUUGAAACAAAUCUAUAAAAGGACAGUAAAAAUAAGAGGACAUGGUGAGAAAUCGUUACAAGAUUACUUAUAAUGGCACAUACCACCAAAGACUACAGCACACAGAGAAUAUCCCAAUUUCACAAAUCGAGCUUUAAACAGUUAUUUGGAUAUUCCUCCAGCCGAAGGGGAUAAAAAAUAUCCAAUAACAAUAUAAAAUAGUACCUGUACAGCAAGCAACCAAGCUUCCUGCAGCAGAGCUGAAAACAUGCACGCAAUGGUUGAACAGCAAGACCUCCACUCUUGGCAUAACAUAUUGGUCUUUUCAUCCGGCAUCGAAUUGUCCCAAAUAUGAGCCAAUACUACUAGCGUAAACCCCAUCUCUACCACCUGCAAAAAAUUACAUUGAUUUAACAAUAGAGGUAAUUGAGAAACCAUCUUGUUUUUUUUGAGAAAAGGUUAACUGCCUGAGAAACCAUCUUGUUUAACAAAACAAACAACAAAUAUCUAUAAUGCAACCAGCAAAGACAAACAAACAGUAUACAAAGUUGCAUUUUCCAUAUUCAAUGGCUAUUUAUACUUUUGUGGUCCCUAAUCCCAAUGUUUCAUACUACCAAAUGUUCCAUUGGCAGGUUGCCAUCCGAUUAUGGGCAUGAAUCGAAUCCCAGGUCAACAAAAUUAUUUGUGUCUUGUGAUGCAAUUCAUAUCAUCUAUGAAUCUCUCUCUCUCUCUCUCUCUCUCUCUCUCUCUAUCUAUCUAUCUAUCUAUCUAUCUAUCUCUCUCACAAACACACACACAAGAAGAGGGAGAACUAUGAACAACUAACCAAAUUUGACCAAAUUCUAGGUGAAAUGAAACCAAAUAGAUGGAUCUUGUAGUAAAAAGUUUUGAAUCUUCUCAUGAAUCCUCUAGGCAUAAAACCCAAACGAAAUAAAUUCACAUGCAUCAUAAUUCUCCACUAUAGUCUGACAAAGCUAUUAUUCAUGUAACAAAUCUAUCAGUCACAAGCUUUUUUAGAAUGCUCCAGCCAAGAUAGGGUCUACCCCAUGAUUUGGAGAGGUAAAGAAUAAGGUAACAGGAGAGAUCAUCUAAUGUCCUUAGAUCUUUUUGAGAUAUCUCUUACUCAUAUCUUUUGCAGUCAGUUAUUAGUAGAGAUUUCUAAAGAAAACUGAUAAAAAAGAAACAAAUCUUACGGAGCCUGUUUCAAGUAUAUGUGAAAUGACAUCAAAGGACAUUAUAUAUUAGUAUAGCUAGUUUUAGUUGUUCUAGAAUCAAGAAGUAGAAGUACUCAAGUAAACCUUCAAUACCGUGAUACCAAGCAUGAAUUUAUCAUGAUGGAGCACCCCUAGUCUGAUUAGGAAUUGUUUCUUGGAUUCCAUUACCAUUUUAAGCAUGGUGAGUCUGUGGGUGCGGAUGUGAUCAAAUAAUAUAAAUGUUUGUUUGUCCAUGUGCAUGUGUAUGAAAGAGGGAAUAAAAGAAUUAGGAUUUUUUAUUGACAUGGCAGGCCAGUCUCACACGCUUUGAUGUGUCCAUAGACCACAAUGCACUUCCAAUGGAGGAAAUCUGUGAUCCUAGCUAGGGUCACUGUGACAGAGAACUUGCCAAUGUGAGAGGCAACUAAGGCAUGUUGAGAUGAGUACUAGAGGACCCAGACACCGCCAGAAGGUCUUAUUGCAUCCAGAGCUAACCACUGGCAGAGGAAAACCCCAAAUAUUCUGAAUUUGGGAGAGAGAGGGAGAAGAAAGCUUGGUUUCCACCAAACCAAGAAGAGACGGAGAAUACUGUGAAACAAAUAGACGAAUAUUUGCCGUUUUCCUGGGUGGCCCAAACCCCUUAUAUUCCAAAUAAGGAUCUUUAUAGCACAGCUACGGAGCGGAUGGCACUUUUGGUCGGGCGACGAGAAUGCUGAGGAGCUGAGGGAAUGGGGAGGACCUUAGCUGAAGGUUCUUUUUUCUCGUACCUUACUUUGACAUAGUUUGGAUAGCUCCCAGGAUGCUCUCUAAUUGGUGGCAAGAGCCUUACCUUUGACAUUCUUCAACUUACACUGGCGUUUAGAUUCGGUAUCAGCAUUGAUGAAGGCUUCAAAGGCUUCAUGAGGGUUGUUGAACAGGAAGCCCAUCACUAAAAGGAUCUCGUGAGGAUUGCCUUGGGCUUUGCAUCCACAGAGCUAGAGUCCACAGAGACCGGUGAACAAGAUUCCGAGGAAUAGGAGGAAUAGGGGUUAUCAAAGGGGAGGGAAAGAUGCGUGGGUGGGGGAGAAGGAUGCUCUUCACUGAGAUUGUACGGUAGCAGAGGGGGGAGGGGACCUUCAAGAGGGGGAAUGUGGAUAAAAUGAUAGCCAGAGGGGAAAAGGAGGUUGAGGUGGAAUUAAGGGUGAAGAGGUAGGCCGAGGCGUGGAAUAUAUGGCUAAGGAUGGGCUUGAUUGAGGGCUUGAGCAUGAAGCCAUUUGGUGAACAGGCUGGGUAGGCCUCAACAUCAAUGCUUGAUUAAGCUAGUUAAGAGUUAUUAUGGAAUUAUUUAUUUUAUCAAGGGUAAAAAUGUUAUAAAAUUUUUUGUUUUAAUCAAGACUUCUUUUUUUUCAAUUAGAAUUAGGAUUACUUGGAAUUUAGGUAAGAUCUUUUAUUAUAAAUAGUGGUCGUAUUCAGGGUUUUGCUUUCAGACUUAGAUAUCAUUUUGUUCAAAAUCCUGGUUUCACCAGAGAGCUAGAAGCUUGGAUUGUAAGCUUCCUAUUAUUCAAUCAAUUCGAUCCUUGAUUUUUCUAUUUCUCUUUUUUCUUUCCACCAUACCAUCUGGUAUUAGAGCAGGCCCGUUCCCAAAGCGCAUGAGCAUUUGCAGCAAGUUUGCUUGAUGGCGGUUAAAGAGGUCAAGUUCAUGGAUGUGGUGGUGACAAAGUUAUAUGUGAGGGAAUAAAAUGAUCUGAUGAGAAUUGAGCAAGUGGUGUACGACAGAUGUAAAAAAGGUCAAAUCAAAGGAGAUUUGAGGAUCUGGUGGAUGAGGUGAAGCCAACCCGCUCUGAAUGAUGUUUGGUCGUUCAUGACAAAGGCGGAUCUGUAUCUAAUUGCAGUUAUAAUUCACCUCAUAACCUGAGGAGAGGUAAUCUCGUUUUGCGAGCAUAAUUAUUUUUUUGGUCUUAAUAGACAGACCAUAGAGAAACCCUUAUCUCAUCAAAUUAUCACUGUACUUCGCAACUUGCCGCUGAAUUGAGGCAAUUUCAAUGUGUAAAUUGCUGAAAUUAGGCAGUUCUAGCAUGUUUAAGUGGAUGAAUCGAGCAUAUCACAAUAACGCCGUCAAACAUACAACGACCAUGUCCUUGAGUUGUUCUCACAACAGUUUAUUUGCUCGUCGACCGAUUGCAAAGCCCCAAAUUUAACGCACAACGGUGCAAAACCAACACCCAUAAAGGAGAGAUCCGAGACCGAUUCAACAACAACCUGUCGAUCAUGCCGGUUGAUCAACAAGAUGGAAACAUCUUAGAUCACCAUCAAGAAAGGGAAAGGAACAAGGGCCCUUCCAGUCCUAACCGUGUCACUACUCGAAGUAGGCUGCACCACUACACAAAGUAGGGGCCUUCUCUAGUACGCCAAAGUAGGAGGGAAUGUUUUUCAAUUCUAUAAAUCAAAAUAACAUCAAUAACUGCGCCUGUACAGUACAUUUAAACCCACUUGUGGACCCUUGAUAUUGACCAAAAUACCUCUAACAAAAUAAUACAAUGACCAACCUACACUUAUAACCUAUUCCCCAUACAAUUAAAUCAGCAUUCUUGAAACCUAGUUCCCAUUUUGCAAGUCCCCAUUCAUUAAACCAAAUUCUCAUGCGAAAUAAUAAAUACCAUAGAUAACCCAAAAAAAGAUGAUAAUCAUGGGCCACCCUUUCAUUAAAUUGAGAUACAAUGUAACUUGUCCUUCUAAAAAUAGUAUCCCCCAUAUAAUUAAAGUUCAUAGCAGAACCCUCUAAAUCAAGCCAAUGUGAUAAAUAUCAAAUGCCGUGCAUUUAUGCCCAAGACGGGCGAAUUUUAUUGUAAGCACUGGUAGAAAUGAAAUUAAAAUGAUUGAAAAUCAUCUACUUAGUCACAAACAAAAGAAAGAAGAAUUUAUCCUCAACUAGGAAAAAUGAAAAGGCGAUGAAUCCAAGCCAGUUGAAAUGCAUGAAAAUCAUCUACUUAGUCACAAACAAAAGAAAGAACAACUGAUCAUCAACUAGGAAAAAUGAAAAAGCAAUAAAUCUAAGUCAAUUUUAAAAACAAGUACUAUGUACUAAGCCUAUUUAAUUUGUGCAUUUGUCUGUUGCAAGGCCUUUUGGAGUUUGACGAAUGUUACAAUUAGGGGAGUUUUGAUAAAAAAUAAGUAGAUAAUAUAUUUUUCUUAGAUACUAAUUAACUUGGAAAUGCGUGUACACCUCUAUCCUCAUACCAUCAAUUCAAGACAACUAAAUUCGAUAUGUAUAAAAUCCAACGGAUAACUUUGAUUCAAAUUAAAUCUCCCAAAAGAUGACCAAUGUAAACUAAAAUUUCUAACGUACCGCACCCGACUUUAGUUCCUAACCAGCAAACGUAUUGCACCCAUCACUUCUCCCUUUCUCUAAAUCUCUCCAUUUUACAUCCCAAGGGCUUGUCCUUUCAAUUUGUCUCUUUCCUCCCUCUCCCUCUCCCUCUCCCUCUCCCUNNNNNNNNNNNNNNNNNNNNGGUUGGAAUUUAGAAAAGUCCUCUAUACAUUUGCCAGAAGAAGAGGAAAUGGAGAGCAAGACUCACUAGAACAAGACAUAAUCCCAGUGGUAGUUAGGGUGUGGUCUUCCAUUUUGGAUUCACAAAAAGUUGAUAAUCCUACUCUUGUUGACCAGGACCCAGGUCCAAGUCGACCCUUAGACCUCGUCGAGUCAGGUCUAACUCAACCUAUUUACCCACAAAGAAUCGUUUCAAGGGCAAAGCAAACAAUCAGAUUGUAAUAUACACACACUCUCUCCCUUUCUCUCUCUCUCUCUCUCUUACAUCUCUUACAUUUACAUGCUACCUACCAAAUAACUACUAAUGCCAUACAUGCGUCAUAUGAACAUAGGUUUAUGUUAGGGGCAAGCUUUCUAUGCUUCCCCUACAACAUAUAACUUAUAUACUUCCCCUUAUCUAACCUUACAUACCUCACGUCUCUAUACUAUUUUAUUUUUAAGUUUUUUUCUAUAAACUAUUUUGACACCAAAUUUUGAACUUCCAAUCCUCUAUUAAACUCGCGCUAUCAAAAAAUAUUAAAAAAAUAUUUCUGAUAAAAUAAAGAAACCAAAAUACCUCUGAAAGUUUCAAAGGGUAUUUUGAUCAUUAUAUUUUAGCAAAAAAAUAUAUUUUGGUCCUACUACUGGGAUAUGAGAGAAUGUAUAAUGAAUAGGUGCUAUAAUUACAUACAUAGUAGGAUGAAAAGAACAAGAGGAAAGGGUGACAAAUGGUUACAAGAUUACUUAUAAUGGCAAAUACCACCAGAGACUACAAUACACAGAGAAUUCCCCAAUUUCACGAACUGAGCUUUAAUCAGUUAUUUAGAUAUUCCUCCAGCCUAAGGGGAUCAACAAAAUAGAAUAACAAUAUUAAAUAGUACCUGUACAGCAAGCAACCAAGCCUCCUGUAGCAAAGCUGAAAAUAUGCUUGAAAUGCUUGAACAGCCAGACCUCCACUGCUGGCAUAACUUACUGUUCUUUUCAUCCAGCAUGGCAUUGUGUCAAAGAUGAGCAAGUGCUAAUAGGGUAAAUCCCAGCUCUACCACCUACAAAAAAUUAAAUUGAUUUAAUAAUAGCGAUAACUGAGAAACCACCUUGUUUAAAAAAACAAACAACAAAUAUCUAUAAUGCAGCUAGCAAAAGGCAAACAAACAGUACAUAAAGUCUCAUUUUCCAUAUUCAAUGGCUAUUUAUACUUUUGUGGUCCCUAUUCAAAAUAAUGACUAAUCCCAAAGUUUCAUACUCAUAAAUGUUCUAUCAGCAGUUUGCCAUCAUAUUAUGGGCAGAAAUCAAAUCCCAAGUCAACAAAAAUAUCAACGUCUUGAGAUGCAAUUCUUAUCAUCUAUGAAUCUCUCUCUCUCUCUCUUA
rnacentral:lncRNA from 1 species